GAGCUCAAAGUUGGAACCUGUUUGGCUUAGCUAAACCGGAUUGUAAACUGUAGAAGUGUUUUCCAGACACGCCUGGUAAAAAAGUCCUUUGGAACAGGGCAUCAUAGAGGGUGAGAAUCCCGUCUUUGGCCAGAGCUGUUGUCUUUUGUGAUACAUUUUCAAAGAGUCAGGUUGUUUGGGAAUGCAGCCUAAAUUGGGUGGUAAAUCUCACCUAAAGCUAAAUAUUUGCGAGAGACCGAUAGCGAACAAGUACCGUGAGGGAAAGAUGAAAAGAACUUUGAAAAGAGAGUUAAACAGUAUGUGAAAUUGUUAAAAGGGAACCGUUUGGAGCCAGACUGGCUUGACUGUAAUCAAUCUAGGCUUCGGCCUGGAUGCACUUGCGGUUUAUGCCUGCCAACGACAAUUUUUUUUGAGGGAAAAAACUAUUUGGAAUGUGGCCCCCCUCGGGGGGUGUUAUAGCCUUUUAGAAAAUACCUUGAAUUGGAUUGAGGAACGCAGUGAAUGCCUUUAGGCAAGAUUGCUGGGCGCUUUCGCUAAUAAAUGCUAGAAUUUCUGCUUCGGGUGGUGCUAGUGUUUAAAGGAGAAACUCGUCUGGUAUAUUUUUUAUUC
rnacentral:rRNA from 1 species